CCAAGAUCCGAACCCACAAACCCAGACCACUACAGCAGAGCAUGCAGGACUUUAACCACUUGGUGACGAAGCCAGGCCGAAUUUUUUGUUUUUUUUUUUUUACUUUACGACUAUGCAUAGACCACAGGCUGAUAAAUUUCUCCUUCAUUCUCUUUGAAUGGGGCAAUUCCCACUCAGCUGGCUAUUUUCCCCAGAAUAGUAUAGGAGGAAUAUUUUUGACUGUCUUCCUUAUUAACUCAAAAAGUCCCUUCAGCCUCCUCCCUUAGGAAUUGAGUGAAAAGUUGGAUGUUGGAUGAAGAAUUUAUCUGAGAGGAAAUUUCUGGGGCUUGGGGAAUAUUCGACUGUGGAAUUCUGUUUCUGAGUUUCUCCGUGAACGCAGGAACAUCUUCAUUGUUUUUUAGUGUAUGCUUUAUGCUUUCAAGUUUGGGGAAUGUCCACGUCUUGGAUUUCAGCACAUAGUCACUUGUCAGUUGCCCACUUUGGUGAGAAGAUGAGUAGCAAUGAAUCAUCUCCUUCUUCUUUUUGGUGGAUAGCUGUAUAAUUUCUCCUGAAUUGGGCCUAUUGCUGAAAAGUCAGCUCACGUCCGUAUAUCAUCUCUCCUGUUUGGAAGCUGGACCAGAGAAGACAAUGGUUUUGUCUGGGUGGCCAAAGGAACCAAGAGGAUUAUCUGUACUCUGAAGUCACACUUUUCCCAAAUAUCCCAUGGUAAGGACUUAUUCUGCAGUUACCUCCACUGUCUGCCGGCUUGCCUGUAAAAAGGAGGAGAAAUUGCAGAAAAGCAUGAACAGGCUGGAGGCAGCAGAGAGGAGUAGAAAUAACAGGGGCCUGAACAACGGAAGUUUUGGGUUCUCAGUCUGAUGAUAUGCUCACUGUCACCCCAAACUACCACAUCUUCGAGUCGUUGCUCCAUGUAGAGUGCUCCUCUCCCUGAAAGCGUAGACGAGAGACAUGGAGUAAAGUGUGGGCUCUGGAGCCACUGCCAGGACUGGAAGCCUCGUUCUACCCCUUUCUAGCUGUGUGAUCAUGGGAACAUUAGAAAACCGCUCCUUGCUCCUAUUCCCUAACCUGUAAAAGAUAACCAUAAUUAAACAUACCUUCCUGGUACGUUGUGAGGACUUAAUGCACAAAUUCAUAUAAAGUUCUUUGAAGAGUACCUGCAUUAUGACAAUGCUCAAAAAUGUUAGCAUUUAUUAUAAUUAGACCCCUCCUCCAUUCCAAAAUGCCCCUCAUUGCACGCUUAGCGAGCUCCUACUAAUCCUUCAAGUUUCUGCUUAAAUGUUUCCUCCUCUAAGAAGCCUUCCACAGCCAUCCCUUCCUCUCCCUAAACAGGGUUGAUACUUCCCCUUCUCUGAGGCUGUGCUAGGCACUGUUAAUACAGAGUUGCCUAAGAGUUAGCCACUGUCCCCACAUUGCACACAGUCUAGGAAGACAUGACAAGCUCUGUAAUAAGGUAGCACUCAGCACCAAGGAGGUUUCCUGCUCAGAGGUCGGUCAUUUCUCAAACUGUAUAAAACCCAAGGGCAACCUCUGAGACUGUAUUAGCUGUGUCUAGUUUUUCCUCUCUUUUCUUUUUCUCCACUUUGGUUCAUUCCCCAAACUUUCAUUUUACUUUCCAGUCUCCCUUCCUUUUUUCUCUUACCCUUCUUUCCUGUCUCUUGGGUUUUAUUCUCUCCUUUUCUCUCACUGGAUCUGCACUGCUUGUGGAAGAAGGAGAGCGCCUGGGGCAGUCUUCCUAGAAGAGAUAGUACACAAACUGAUCCUCAAGGCAGAGGGAGAUUUAGAUAAGGAACCGAGGAGUAAGGGGCACAGAUGGAGCAGGAAGGAACAGGCAGAAGGAACAUCAAAUGUGAGGUGUCUGAGAAGAAGGCAUGAAGGAAAGCACGUGCAACGAUGGUAUUUACUGAAAAAUGCAUGAAUUUCAGGCAACUCUGGGAUGUCCCAAGGUGAAGUGGGAUUGAUGAGAGAGGGGGUAAUUCGGGCAUUCCACAAUACGAUUGGAUUGUAUUCUCUAUGGGAUGGGUUCUAAAUUGAGAUUCUAAGGAAGAAGUUGACAUGAUUCUCUUUUCACGUUAGAAAGAUCACUGUGUGUAGGAUGGAUUGAAGGAGACUAGCUUGAUUCAGGCCAUGAAGUUAUGCUACUGAAACCAUCUGAGCAAGAGGUGCUGAUACGUCGAGGAUGUUGGCAAGAUGGUGCAGUGGUUAAGCAUGUGGUCAACUCCUUACCAUAAAGAAACAAAGAAUCAGAGAUCUGCACAAUAGUUUACCAUCUGAGUUCAUAGGUCCUGCAAACGGCUGGUGCAGGAAAAAGUCAACUGCUUAAGAUAAAUCAUCAAAAAGGUACCUUAUAGCAUAAGCACUAUAUGGAAACUAGAAGAAAGGAACAAACAACAACAACAAAAGAAUGGAACAGAGAAAACACAUGGCAUAUAAGGAACACUCAUCAGAAAAACAUAGCUACAGAGAAAAUGAAAAUCGUGAUCAAACAUUGCAUUGUAAUGUGGUGGUACUGUAGAUUGGCUAAUUCAAUGUCCACUCCACUCUCUUCCAGCCUUUCUAGCUGGCUGAGAAACACAAAGUAUCAUUUCUCAGACUCCUCUGUAGCUAGAGUUCUGCCUAUGACAAAGAUCCACUAAGCAAAAUCACCCACCUGUGAUUUCUAGAAGGAAGGAAAUAAUGGGAUCCACAUACGGAGAAGCUGAUCUUGUGUCAAGCACAGGGAGUGAGGCUGUGGUUCUGUGACGCUGGGGCAGUUUCUAGUGUAUGGUCCCCAGUGUCUUAGGCACUGAGCAAGGGAGAUAGCAGCAAUCGGUUCCUGCUAGAACAUUGCCAGAGUGUGGUUGGGCACUCUCCUGGUUGUGCAGUACCCAAGCCUGGUUCCCUAGCUCUCCAGGAGAUUUCAUGAGCUACCAGAUAUCCCUUAAUAAACUCCUUUGGCUUUAACCAUCUAGUGUAAGUUCUGUUUCCUGCAAGUAAACACACUGAGCCAUAGUCAUAGAUUUAAAAAAGAGAAAGCCUAACGAAACAAUUGCCGCUGUUUAACAAAUGCACAAAGCAAAAUACACAAAAGUGAGGAAUAGAUAAUGAUAAAACAGAAAGACAUAAAACAUGAGCUGCAAAGAUCAAGAAAGGGAAAACAUAAAUGAAGGUCAAAUUUGAUAUAAAUGCUAUCAAGUCAUAUAUACAUAGCGCAUUUUAGUUUUCCAUUCAUCUGUCAGUGGACACUUAGGUUGUCUCCAGGUCUUGGCUAUUAUGAAUAAUGCUGCAAUGAAAAUGGGGGCGCAGAUAAUCUCUUUGAGAUAGUUAUUUCUUUCAGAUAUAUACCCAGAAGUGGCGAUUGCUGGAUCAUAUGGUACUUCUACUUUUAAUUUUUUGAGGAACCUCUGUACUCCAUAAUGGCUGCACCAAUUUACAUUCCCAUCAACAAUGCACAAGUGUUGCCUUCUCCCCACAGCCUCGCGUACACUUGUUGCCUCUUUGUGAUAAUUGUUAUUCUAACAGGUGUGGGGUGAUAGCUCAUUGUGGUUUGGAUUUGCAUUUCCACUAAUGAUAACAUUAGUGAUCUUGAGAAUCUUUUCACGAACCUGUUGGCUAUUUGUACAUCUUCUUUGGAAAAUGUCUAUUCAAAUCCUUUCCCCAUUUUUAAAUUAGAUUGUUUGGUUUUGUUGCUAUGGAGUUGUAUGAAAUCCUUAUAUAUUUUAAAUACUAACCCUUUAUCAGAUAGAUGGUUUGCAAAUAUUUUUUCCCAUUCCACAGAUUGCCUUUUCAUUUUUUUAUUGUGUCUUUUGCUGUUCAGAGGGAUUUUGUUUUGUUUUUUGGGGGGGGAAGAUUAGCCCUGAGCUAACAUCUGCUGCCAAUCCUCCUCUUUUUGCUGAGGAAGACUGGCCUUGAGCUAACAUCCGUGACCAUCUUUCUCUACUUUAUAUGUGGGACGCCUACCACAGGAUGGCUGGCCAAGAGGUGCCAUGUCUGCACCCAGGAUCCUAACCAGCAAACCCUGGGCCAACAAAGCAGAGCAUGCGCACUCAACAGCUGCACCACCAGGCUGGCCCCUGUUCAGAAGGUUUUUAAUUUGAUGUAGUCCCGUUUAUUUAUUUUUGCUCUUGUUGCUUGUACUUUUGGUACCAUAUCCAAAAAAAUCAUUGCCGAGAUGAAUGUCAAGGAGCUUUUUUCCUAUGUUUUUUUCUAGGAUGUUUACAGUUUCCGGUCUUAUGUUUAGUCUUUAAUACAUUUCGAGUUACUUUUUGUGAGUGGUGUAAGAUAGGGGCCCAAUUUCGUUCUUUUGCAUGCGAUUAUCCAGUUUUCCCAAUACCAUUUAUUGAAGAUACUAUCCUUUCCCCAUUGAGUCCCUUGACUCCUUUGUCAAAUAUUAGCUGACUGUAUAUGCAAGGGUUACUUUCUGUGUUCUCUAUUCCAUUCCAUUGGUGCACGUAUCUGGUUUUAUGCCUGUACCAUACUGCUUUGAUUCCCAUAGCUUUGUAAUACAGUUCGAGAACAGGAAGCGUGACUCCUCCACCUUUGUUCUUUCUCAAGAUUCCUCCUUGCUCAAGAUUGCUUUGGCUUUUCACGUUUUUUUGUGGUUCCAUACAAAUCUUAGGAUUGUGUUUUCUAUUUCUGGGAAAAUGUCAUUGUAAUUUUGAUAGGGAUGGAAUUGAAUUUAUAGAUGGUUUUGGGUAGUUG
ensembl:lncRNA